GCGUUCAUCAUGGAUGUGCACCCCUCCCACCUCCUCCAGAUGUUCCCAGGACAAGAGCUAAGUCUGCCUGGCCGGCGCGCGCCGCUUCCGCCCGGGUGGGGAGGGCCUCCCCUCCCCCUAUGGAGAAACACUCUCGUCAGGCCUCCUUGGCCUGUUGUACACCUCCCCAGAGUCGCCAUCGGGGACCCCGGGGCUGUGCCGAGCGGGGUAGAAUGGGGCCGUCUGCAGAGAGAAAAACUUAAUGAUUCAGGGAUCAGAUGCCCUGAAGAGUAGAAGACUUCGGUCCCAACUGGUGUUGCCAAAGCAGCAUACUAAUUCCAUGCCAUGGUCCUGGGUCAAGAUCUGCACAAUCUGAUUGGCCAUAUCACCUCGGAUGGCAAGGGAAUGGAAGUGAUCAAAAUCGUGGAGUCCCAGCUUUCGGAGACGCCUUGCAGCUGCUCGGUAACACUUCCAAGGCUGUGGCUCCACAAGGAGGUAGCGGCAGAGGGAGGAAAGAUGGGCCAGGAACUCCCACAGGCCAUGGUCCCCAUGAUUCAGAUGAAUCCACAUGGUUAUUGACAUACAGAAGCCAAUGUCAAAAACUGAACGUCCAAAUUGACUUAAGAAGGAGCUCAAGAGAACCUUCCGGGUCCUUUGAUUCAUGAAGUCCAGGGUGAUAAAAUUCAAGCCAUCAGGAAAAGGACAUUCUUUUUUAGCUCGCUCCACCAGGACUGGAUCUAUGUCACAGCAUAGGAGACGGAGUUCUCUGGAGGCAUCUGAGCAGUUCUCCCCAUCAUGUAAGGAAAGGAAGUGUUUGUAUAGAGCCACACUCAGAUCCUAAAGGAAUCCAAAAGAGUCAUUGCAGUAUUCAACAUUGAAUGGAAGACAAAUCUCUCAUCCUCUAAGACUGCCAUACUUACUUCUGGCUUUAUAGGAUGUGAGCCUCCUAAUUAUAACCUACAGAGGUUGUAGUUUUUCUUGAGCAGACUCUCAGCGCCCUCCAGGGGUCAUAGACUGUAAAUGCACUAUCCCUAUAUUUUCUUGAUAACUGCUGGUUGGGUUGUAUGGUUCAAAGUUCAAUGAUACUGCAAAGGAGCCUAGAGCAAUAUUUUCUGGCUUAAAUAAUAUGCUGGUAAACACAUCUUUAAAAAUAUAUAUAUAUUAGUUGUUUAUGGUCCUUUAUUUUUGUUUAUUUUAUAUGUGGUGCUGAGAAUUGAACCCAGUGCUUCACACAAGCUAGGCAAGUGCUCUACCACUGAGCCAGAACCCCAGCCCUAAACUCAUCUUUUUUUGGGUAUCUCAGACCCAAGUGAAAAGGAAAGGGGUCCAGGAACGUAACCAGUGUCCCUUACCAGGAAGGUAAGGAAUAGAGCAAGCACCAUCUUAUGAAAACCUGUUUCUCAGAAUAGAAACCUGUGGUUGGAAAAGGUCUGGAUUCCAAAAAUCCUCAUUUAGCCUUCAUUCUACAUCUUUUAGUUUACAUACUGUUUUAUACUUCAUCAACUCCUUCUGAGACUUAUUCUGCUUCUGCAGCCAUCAUUCCCAAAAUACACUAAUGAUCUACUUCUAGCCAAAUCCAACUAUUUAUGAUUUUCACUACCUUAAGAACUUCUUGACUCUUAAAGAAGACAUUCUCUCCUUUUGCUAACUUUGAUUUCUAUAAUCAUUAUAAUCAACUCUAAUUUGUGUUUUUCUAUAUAGUUUUUUACAUUAGGUUCCUUCCUAACGUAUCACGAUUCUUAAAGCUUCUUUUUCUUCCCAAUACUGGAAAUUGAACAAGGGGUGCUCUACCACGAGGUAAAUUCCCUGCCCCAUUUAUUUUUCAUUUUGAGAUGGCUGGCCUCCAACUUGCUAUUAUCCUGCCUCAGCCUCCUGAAUAGCUGGGAUUACAGGUGUGUGCUACCAUGCCUGACUUGUCCUCUCAAACUUUAAUGGACAUAUAAAUCACUGAUAUAAAAUAUACAUGCUGACUUAGUAGAUCUGGGGUGAGGGCUGAGAUUUGUUUGUAUAUAUUUAUUUUUUGCGAUGCUGGGAAUCGAACCCAGGGCUUCACACAUGCCAGGUAAGUUGCUCUACCACUGAGACACAUUCCCAGCCCUGAGAUUAUAUAUUUUUAAUAAGCUGUCAAAUCAUGCCAGUGUUCAAAAAUUAGUAGCAAGGCCCCAAACCACAGUGCUUAUUUUCUCCCCAUUCUCUGUUUAUUUCUUCCAUACUUUCUCAUUGUCUGAUAUUGGGUGUGGUCCCAUUUAACUAGUCAAUCACAUCAGUGACGGGCUGGAUCCCCAGUACCAGGCCAAAAAAAGACAUGAAUGUUCCCCAGGUUAUUAAAUGAAAAGCAAGGUAUAAAAUAGUGUGCUUCUAUUAUUAAAAUUAAAUGAUGGGGGAUAUUUAUACAUUUAUUUAUACAUUUGUAAAUGUUCAGGAAUACACAGGAUGGAUACCCAAGCAAUUAUACUCAUUGGUGCCACUGUGUGGGGGGAAAGGAGGAUUUAGGGUUGACAGUAAAGACUUACUUUUUACUAUGAAGUCAUCCCUUGUUAUCCAUGGUGAACUGGUUUGAGGACCCCAGAGGAUACUGAAAUCCAAGGAUGCUCAUGUUAUUAUGUUAAAUAGUUGUGACUGUAUUGUUUAGGGAAUAAUAAUAAUAAAAAAAAGAUCUGUUCAU